CAAAACCCUACGCAGCGGGACAAUUGCCCUCACACUCUCACGGUUCACGGGCCCAACAUGAGGAAACGUUUAGUAAUCUAAAAUGGGUGCGUGGAAUUCGUAGCAGAAAGAUACAUGGGGCUCCCUUUGGCAAGCUUCUUUGCAGAGGUUGAGGAACCAUGGUUUCAUGCCCUGCCCAGGUUGAUACUCGGCAUUCUGAGGGAUCUUUUUGUUUACUAUGCUUGCUGAUCUGGGUUUACUUGAGGCUUUCUUUUCUUAAACAACUUUGCCUUGAAAUUUUAUAUGGAUAUGAAUAUGGGUAUACUGGUAUAGGCUGCUGGACCUGCUGGUAUAUGUAUAUAUGAAAUGCUGUUCCAGUGCAGAUGGAUUUAUAUCUAUUUUAUAAGAAAAAAACAUGUUUGUUUGUUAAUGUGUUUUGAUGGGUGUUUUUUGUUUUUGGUAUCAAAGCUAAAGUAUUAAUUUUUAUGAUUCGCUCAUGUCAGGAGCAUAAUAAGACUAAAGCAUGCUUUGGUCUUUCAUCAGAAGCCUAUGUAGAGGAAUAUAAGGGGAAACUUUUUGUUAGUUUCUUGAUCAUUGUAGCUUUCUUUUCUGUUAAGUUGCUUAAUCAAUGAAACCAUGGGGUUACACACAGAACUUAUAUAGCCUCUAAUGUUAAUAGGAUGAAACUUUUCAUAGCUUAAGAUACCCUCAUGUGAUUUAGUAUUGCAAUGUUGUAAACAAUGUCAAUUGUCAACUCAGAAAAUGUGCUUUGUUUGAUAGACUUUUUUCCUUUUGUUUUCUCUUUUCAAAACAGACGACUCAAAUCACAAAACACUUAAAACUACUUUCAUCUUUAUGUUAUAUCAAAACAAGCAAAAACAAAAGGCCCUUAAGCUAAGUGCUGAUAAGCCACCAAGAAUUCUACAUGGGGUGUUUGACAAAUCGCAUAUUGGGUCUGCCGGGAAUAAUGAAAUUGGCUCUGAGUUCAGUUUGAUAGAUAUUGUAAAUUGUAGAACUGAUUCUUAAGUUACCAUUUUUGCUUGAAGUACUACAAGAUAUCUCCCUAAUAAGCUUAUUGACAACUAAGGCUUGCUUCUUUAAAACUCUUUACCAAUAGGCAGCUGCAUAUGAUUGUUUACACAUUUUUAAUUUUCCUAAUAUAUAUAUAUUUUUUUGUAUCUUUUGUCUUUUUUGUUAUAGGUAUUUCUCUUGUAUUAUUGUGUACUUUCUUAUGUGCUUGAGUUGUCCCCUUUUGCUCUUAAUAAAUUUAGUUUACUUAUAAAAGAAAAAUGUAUCACCAUAAUAAGCUAAAACAGGGUUACACCAUGUGGGUUGCACAAAACUGAAUUUGAAUUGAAACCUAUUCAAAGUUGUCCUUGUUUUAGGGCUAGUUCAGUCUGGAGGCCUUCUUGUAUGAUUGCCAGCAUAGUGGAACAAGCUGGUCCUCAAUACUCUAAUCUUCUUAAUAAAUUGCUCUAAGAAUAGAUAUUAGUUUAAUAGACCGAGUUGAAAAAUUCAGUUUGACUUUGAGUUGUACAUCAGGGUGGAUGUUUGAACAACCUCAACAGGAUCUUCUCCUGCAACCUGGACACAUUUAGAGCAUGAGAGCGCCUGUUUAGGCAGAUUGGGUGCUGCAAUGGGGUUUGAAUGGCUCGAACGCAAUGUAGUAAAACAUAAACCACUGGGUUGGGAAUCAGCUUUGGAUUAAUGAAUUGCAGCCUACAGUUGUUUUCUUGUUGAUGUAUGUGAAAUCCACAAGCACUUUCCAUAUGGAGCAUUGAAGCCCUUCCCUUCAAAUCAUCUGUUCAAAAUGCAUCCGGCUAGAUGGCCAAAUCCAAUGAAGAACAAAUUCCUAUAUGCUUGCCAUUAAGAAAUAUCAUUGAGAUAACAUGGGAAAUAGUAGACUGAUACUUCUUCCAGAUCCAGAGGGGAAUUAUUACAUUGUUUUUUUCUUUUUUUUUUUUAAAGCUAGAAAAGAUGUGCUGAUAAAAUAUUGGGAAAGUACUAGUCGAAGAGUUAUAUCAUACGUAUAAUUUACAUGGAUAUGCCUGAAGUUUCAAUUU